rnacentral:rRNA from 1 species
GGUCAAGCUACUAAGGGCGCAUGGGGGAUGUCUUGGCGUCAGAAGGCGAUGAAGGGCGUGGAAGUCUGCGAUAAGCCCGGGGAAGCUGACAAACGAGCGACGAUCCCGGGGUUCCUGAAUUGAUACACACUGAAUCCAUAGGUGUGUAUGGCUAACCCGGUGAACUGAAACAUCUAAGUAACCGGUGGAAAAGAAAGAAAAAUCGAUUCUCUCAGUAGCGGCGAGCGAACGGGGAUCAGCCCAAACCGCGAGGGUUUUCCCUCGCGGGGUUGUAGGGUCUUUCACAUGGGAGUUACCAAGUGAUCUGCUAGCGGAAUUGUUGUGGAAACUCAAACCACAGAGGGUGACAGUCCCGUACGCGAAAGCAGUAUCGCCUCCCGAAGGAUACCUGAGUAGGUCGGGUCACGUGAAACCCCGACUGAAUCUGCGGGGACCAUCCCGUAAGGCUAAAUACUCUC